UGACACCCGAAGCCAAAUCUAGUUGACAAACCCUGUUUUAUAGUAUGUCAUGGCCUUUUCUGGCCAACUGCUGUUAUGUUUAUGAUAUACUAUGGUGUUGUGUCACUAGACUUUGACCAGAUAUUAUUGCAUCCAAAGAUCAACUGUACCUAGAACAUAGAUACAGAGACACUUGUUAUCAGGAAGGUGCUCUCUCAGAACAACGGAAAAUAUCUCAAUAACUUGACAUGUUCUGGUUGUGAAUUCAGGCUACAAGGGGUCAGUUCUCUAAAAUGAGUCUCUCUGGGGAACAUGACACCAAAUCUAAGAGUCUAAUCAAACAGGAGAGACCAGCCUCCCGUG